rnacentral:siRNA from 1 species
AAGUGUCUCAUCUCUGCAAAGUG